rnacentral:rRNA from 1 species
UACGAAGGGGGCUAGCGUUGCUCGGAAUCACUGGGCGUAAAGGGUGCGUAGGCGGGUCUUUUAAGUCAGGGGUGAAAUCCUGGAGCUCAACUCCAGAACUGCCUUCGAUACUGGAAAGCUCGAGUCCGGGAGAGGUGAGUGGAACUGCGAGUGUAGAGGUGAAAUUCGUAGAUAUUCGGAGGAACACCAGUGGCGAAGGCGGCUCACUGGUCCAUUACUGACGCUGAGGUGCGAAAGGCGUGGGGAGCAAACAGG